rnacentral:misc_RNA from 1 species
AACCAUUCUCACCUGCGGCUAGACCUGCGGAAGGAUCAUUAAUGGGUAGGCUUUGGCCAUAACCCCCUACCAUUGUGAACGAAGCUUUAGUCGCAGUUGCUUCGGCGGGUGGUAAUACCAAGCCCUUAGGGGUACCCGCCGGAGUUAAGCAAACUCUUGUCAUUUAUUGUUAUCUCUGAGUAAACUUUUAAUAAGUUAAAACUUUCAACAAUGGAUCU